AACAAACAUUGCGUUAGCUCACCAGGUGUAGACAACAUCUGGUAACAGCUGGAUAGAGACCUCACAGCGCAGAUGCUUCAAAUGAUCUUUUGCACAUUCCUGCCCAUCUGUCACUGCUAAAUGACUCAUUAAGUCUGAUUACCUAUGUUGGCAGACGCCUUGGGAAGUUCAGCUGGUCUCAUCUGGUUUUGUGGCAGUUUCAAUGAACUUCAGCCCUACUUCCUGUGUGGAAAUGCUCUAAAAUACUGAAGUUCCCAGUGGGUUCUCUGAGAGAUGGAGCAGGCCAAAGCAGUCUUGUGCAUAGCCUUUGGAAGCACUUCAAUCAAUUUGCAGUACAGCAAACACUCAUGCUUUAAGUAUGACUACAGACAAGAAAACAGCAGGUUCAGAAAAACUAAG